UACGUAGGUGACGAGCGUUGUCCGGAUUUACUGGGCGUAAAGAGCGCGCAGGCGGUCGUUCAAGUCGAGUGUGAAAGCCCCCGGCUCAACUGGGGAGGGUCAUUCGAUACUGAUCGACUCGAAGGCAGGAGAGGGUAGUGGAAUUCCCGGUGUAGUGGUGAAAUGCGUAGAGAUCGGGAGGAACACCCGUGGCGAAGGCGGCUCACUGGGCCGGUCCGUGACGCUGAGACGCGAAGGCGUGGGGAGCGAACGGG
rnacentral:rRNA from 1 species